rnacentral:pre_miRNA from 1 species
CAUAUACUCCCUCCGUCUCAAAAUUCUUGUCUUAGAUUUGUCUAAAUACGGAUGUAUCAAGUCACGUUUUAGUAUUAGAUUCAUCCGUAUCUAAACAAAUCUAAGACAAGAAUUUUGGGACGGAGGGAGUANNNN